rnacentral:rRNA from 1 species
UACAGAGACUGCAAGCGUUGCUCGGAAUCACUGGGCGUAAAGGGUGCGUAGGCGGGUUUUUAAGUCAGGGGUGAAAUCCUGGAGCUCAACUCCAGAACUGCCUUUGAUACUGAAGAUCUUGAGUCCGGGAGAGGUGAGUGGAACUGCGAGUGUAGAGGUGAAAUUCGUAGAUAUUGGGAAGAACACCAGUGGCGAAGGCGGCUAACUGGUCCGAUACUGACGCUGAGGUGCGAAAGCGUGGGGAGCAAACAGG